CUGACUCUGGCCACUAGAUCUAACUACCAAUUGACUAGCUUUACAAGGGACAGAGAAACAUGUUAAAUGACACCACUGAGUUUUAAUUAUUUUAAAACUCCAGAUUUGGGAAAUUCUGUAAGAUAAACAAUCAGAUUUUGUUCAUUAAAAAAAGUGCAAAAAGAGAGAGAGAGAUUUACACACAGAACUAUAAACUAGAGACUUCAGAGACAUCAAUUAAUCACAAUAUAUAGAUCUUGUUUAGAUUUCUACUUGAAACAAACAUACUAAAAAAGGAAAAAAUUAAAAAUCAUUCAGGGAAAUGUGAACACUGACAGAUAUUUUAUAACAUUAAAGAAUUAGUGAAGAAAAAGAAGUUACCCAUGCCAAUAGAGGAGGAAGCUUGCCCCAAGGGGUGGGGACAGCAUAGGCAAAGGCAUACUCUUUAGUGAGGGGUGACAGUUUGGUAGUUACAGGAGAAGGACACCUGCUGCAAAAACAUCAUCUCACUUUCCCUCUGGGCGAGAGCUGGCUGUGGUGCUCUGGUUUCUGAGAAAGGAAAAUGCAGCAUAUUGACAUGGAGACUAUUUCUGUCUACUUCUUCUGGCUUCCCUGGGUGUAGCAGGAACCUAAGGGUGGGGGAGAAGUGUUACUGAGGGAUUUCAAGGCCACUCUCAGCAACAGGGAAAAGGACCUGGUGGUUUGGGUGGAGCAGAGGCUUUGAGUACAUUGAUCUCAUCCCACUCUCCCAGCUCUGCCCUGGGAUUGGAAGACAAGGAAGGAGAGGAUUUAUGGAAUAAUUGGGAAUCUUUGCCUACUGUGAGCUUUUCCCUUUAUGAAGGUUCUUCUCAUUGCUGGUGUGACAGAGGGCACGGAAGCUGUAUUCCUGCAAUGAUCUCAGCAUAAAGACCCUCCAUCUGACAGGGAAAGGGCAGGUGAGACAGCACUAGGCUUAUGCCUCAUCCUCAGCAGGUGACCAAAGGAGGAAAAUAAAACAGAACGUCCACAUGCUCUCUGACGAGCUGGAACCCCUGGUACUGGUUGCUCUGAGAAGCCACCGGUUUUCUUCCUUGGACAAUUUCAGAGCCCAUCAUUAUGGUUUACGGAAAGGAAGUGGUGCCGAGAGAGACCCCUGCUUCUCCUGCCAGCUCUUCUCCCUUGAGAAAGCCCCUCCACUUCUCCUGAGCUUGGUUUCAGAAGUUAUGGUUCAUCCUUUCCCAUUGGGAGUCCUUCUGGGAUGGGCUCCAUGUAUUCCUCCAGCAGCAGGGGGGAUGGUUGAGAUGACCUUUUCAGGUCACUCAGGAGCUCUUCCACUUUCUCAGGAUGAUCUAAGCAUCUCCCUUUCCUUUAGAAGCUGUCAGAGCUAACUCCGCGUGGGCGUAGGCUCCUGGCAGCUACAUCACCUCCCCUCCAAUAUUUAAAAGAUCUAUGCUGGUUCUUAGGGCUUCCUAAUCACAGGCUUUUUUUUCUGGGCUCUGCCUUAAAGGCUACAUCCGUUUUUUUCCGCUGGUCUAAACACGACCGCCCCACAGCUCUAGAAAUGGCUGAUUUUCGUUAUGCCCUUUCCAACCAGAUUAUUUCUUAAAUUGCCCUCCCCCCGUUGGGUGUUCUGGGACACAGACGCCAGUGUGUGGGAUCCCCGGCUUUCCUUUCUCCUUGAGCAGCUAGGGGAGAGCCUCAGUUUCUCCUGGCCUGCGGGCAGCAGCCGACCCAGCCUGGGGAGUGGGCCUCGUGUACCCUCGGAGGCCCAGGACCGCGAGGCCACGCCGAGGACCCCCUGAAAGGCAGACCACCACGAGGCAGCGUGAGGACCACACUGCCGCGCCCCAGAGCCCGCCGCCGCCUGUCCCCGCGUCUGAGGUCCACAGGAAGUGCUGCGGCAACACACGCCCCGGGAGGAGGCUUUGUGAACUGAGGCUCCGCGCGCCCCCCACGCGCGCCCCUCACGGGCAGCCGGGACCAGCCCGCCGCCCGGGCCCCUCUGGGAAGGGCUCGGAGGCGACGCGGGGAGGGGGUCGGGGGAGGAGGGAGCGUUCCUGCAAAUCACAUGAUUUUCCCGCUUAUAUAAAUCACAGCUUGUUUUUCUCAACCGGGUGCAGACUUAAA